rnacentral:rRNA from 1 species
ACGGGAGGCAGCAGUGGGGAAUAUUGCGCAAUGGACGAAAGUCUGACGCAGCGACGCCGCGUGUGGGAUGACGGUCUUCGGAUUGUAAACCACUGUCGGGAGGGACGAAUACGCCACAAGGCGGGUGACGGUACCUCCAAAGGAAGCACAGGCUAACUCCGUGCCAGCAGCCGCGGUAAU